UCUUCUCGAUAAAUUUCAGAAGUAUUUCAGAAAGGCUUGAUUCCUUCGCCAGGGGAGAUGUGGUGGAAGUCACAGACGCACUUGGAUGUAUGAGGAAUCUACGAGAAGGUGCCAGAGAGGAGGCCGUGUGGGACCCUGGGUGAAUGCCAGUCAAUCAGAAUUUUUAUCUGGAAACCUCCCUGUGAUUUGGAAACGAAGCUAGAAGCCAAGGUAGACACACCUGCAAUUGUGACAUUCCCGUGUUCCGGAGGUGGGAAGAUGGCAGAGAGGGUCUUUGGAGCUCAAACACCAUCGCCUUUUAUUGUCUGUAAACUUUGGAGAAACUUGCUGGCCAAGUCCCUGUGUCCUCACCUGGAAAACCGGCGGCUGUGUUGACUGAAUAAGUGAAGUCCAGUGGGACAAUGGAACAUGCCUGGGAACAGAGGAGAUGCUGAUAAUAAUGGACACAGCCUCCCAUGGAGCAUUCACGAUGCCCCUGAGCACAGAAUUCAGUUGCACCCGCGAUGCAUGAAGUUCAGCGAGACUCAGAGUGAAGCUCAAGGCAUUUUUGAUUCGUCUGGGAGAAGAGGCACUGCCUCUUUCUUUGGGUGCUGUGAUAGAUGGUGGUGUCACCAGGAACUGAUAUAGCGUUUUGUUACUGUAUGAUAGAAACCGGUUAGAGGACAAAACA